rnacentral:rRNA from 1 species
GGGUGCGAUCAUACCAGCGUCAAUGCAUUAGAUCCCAUUAGAAGUCCGCGGUUAAGCGUGCUUGGGCUAGAGUAGUACUAGGAUGGGUGACCUCCUAGGAAGUCCUAGUGUUGCACCCU